UUGGUCAUUUAGAGGAAGUAAAAGUCGUAACAAGGUCUCCGUUGGUGAACCAGCGGAGGGAUCAUUACCGAGUUUACAACUCCCAAACCCCUGUGAACAUACCUAUACGUUGCCUCGGCGGAUCAGCCCGCGCCCCGUAAAACGGGACGGCCCGCCCGAGGACCCCUAAACUCUGUUUUUAGUGGAACUUCUGAGUAAAACAAACAAAUAAAUCAAAACUUUCAACAACGGAUCUCUUGGUUCUGGCAUCGAUGAAGAACGCAGCAAAAUGCGAUAAGUAAUGUGAAUUGCAGAAUUCAGUGAAUCAUCGAAUCUUUGAACGCACAUUGCGCCCGCCAGUAUUCUGGCGGGCAUGCCUGUUCGAGCGUCAUUUCAACCCUCAAGCUCAGCUUGGUGUUGGGACUCGCGGUAACCCGCGUUCCCCAAAUCGAUUGGCGGUCACGUCGAGCUUCCAUAGCGUAGUAAUCAUACACCUCGUUACUGGUAAUCGUCGCGGCCACGCCGUUAAACCCCAACUUCUGAAUGUUGACCUCGGAUCAGGUAGGAAUACCCGCUGAACUUAAGCAUAUCAAUAAG
rnacentral:rRNA from 1 species